GCUUGGCACGGUGGCAUGUGCCUGUAGUCCCAGCUACUUGGGAGGCUGAGGCUGGAGGAUCGCUUGAGCCCAGGAGUUCUGGGCUGUAGUGCGCUAUGCCAGUUGCGUGUCCACACUAAGUUCGGCAUCAAUAUGGUGACCUUCCGGGAGCAGGGUAUCACCAGAUUGCCUAAGGAGGGGUGAACUGGCCCAGGUCGGAAACGGAGCAGGUCAAAACUCCUGUGCGGAUCAGUAGUGGGAUUGCGCCUGUGAAUAGCCACUGCACUCCAGCCUGGGCGACAUAGCGAGACCCCGUCUCU
rnacentral:SRP_RNA from 1 species